rnacentral:rRNA from 1 species
AGCGAACGCUGGCGGCAGGCCUAACACAUGCAAGUCGAACGAACCCUUCGGGGUUAGUGGCGGACGGGUGAGUAACACGUGGGAACGUGCCUUUAGGUUCGGAAUAACUCAGGGAAACUUGUGCUAAUACCGAAUGUGCCCUUCGGGGGAAAGAUUUAUCGCCUUUAGAGCGGCCCGCGUCUGAUUAGCUAGUUGGUGAGGUAAUGGCUCACCAAGGCUACGAUCAGUAGCUGGUCGGAGAGGAUGACCAGCCACAUUGGGACUGAGACACGGCCCAAACGCCUACGGGAGGCAGCAGGGGGGAAUCUUGCGCAAUGGGCGAAAGCCUGAAGCAGCCAUGCCGCGUGGAUGAUGAAGGUCUUAGGAUUGUAAAAUCCUUUCACCGGUGAAGAUAAUGACUGUAGCCGGAGAAGAAGCCCCGGCUAACUUCGUGCCAGCCGCCGCCGUAAAAC